CAGCAGCCGCGGGAAUACGUAGGGUGCGAGCGUUAAUCGGAAUUACUGGGCGUAAAGCGUGCGUAGGCGGUGAGUUAAGUCUGCUGUGAAAUCCCCGGGCUCAACCUGGGAAUGGCAGUGGAUACUGGCUCGCUAGAGUGUGUCAGAGGAUGGUGGAAUUCCCGGUGUAGCGGUGAAAUGCGUAGAGAUCGGGAGGAACAUCAGUGGCGAAGGCGGCCAUCUGGGACAACACUGACGCUGAGGCACGAAAGCGUGGGGAGCAAACAGGAUUAGAUACCCCGGUAGUCCCUGUCUCUUAUAC
rnacentral:rRNA from 1 species